rnacentral:lncRNA from 1 species
GACUUGAUCGACAGAGGAGCGCUUCAGCCUUCAUGAUCUGCAUUGCUAGGAAGCAAGAAAAAUAUAUUAAAAAAAAAAUGCAUUUCAAAACUACACGAAUAAAAUAUGAAUAUAAAUAUAGGAGCAUUCUUAAAUAUGAUUAGAUCCAACGGAAUUAAAAUUGUGCAUUACAAAUUAAAAAAAAAAAUAGUUGACUUGUAAAAUUGUGUUGCCCAAAACAGAAAAUGGGAUGUCCCACAUGGAAUUUUACAAGAAGAUGAUGAAUCAUAAAGAGGCAAAAAUGGUUGGACAAAAGAAAGAAGGAUGUUUCUUGAUGUCCUGUCAAAUUGUAAAGGUAAAUCUGUUUCUGUUUAUUGAUUGGAGAAGGAAGGCCAACAGCCUACUCAUGCAUCAAAUUGCAAGUCAAAGAAAGUGUUCCAAAUAAUAAAUCUAAUUAUGUGUUCAAACUAACUUUUUGGUUUUGCCUCCUAAUUCCUAUUACUCUUCUAUACUAAAUUAACAUUACUUUUUGCUAACUACAUCUUCCCAAUUUGGCAUUUUCUUUCUUGUUUGACCUUUUCCUACUUGGUUGCAAUUUCUGAAUUUUCGCAAAUUCGUUUUCAAAUGUUUUAGAAUUGCCAAAAGCGUAAACUUGUUUUCUUAAGUUGAUUGUGACAAGGUUAGGAUUAAGCCCAUGUGUCUCCAUUGGCUAAGAAAAGUCGAGUCUUUAAAGAUUUAAAAUGUGCUGCAGAACUCACUGUGCAAAGGCUUCCGUCCAUCGUACAUUUCAGUUGCACACUUGUGUUUAAUGUUGCUGGCCAGUACAAGAAGAACGCUGCCAGAUAUCUAGGCUAGACACUUGGUGCAAGAACUUGAAUUGGGCUUUUUCAUAACGCAUUCUGUGCCGACCCAUUUCACAUUUUCCCAGAAGAGGGCCCUCG